AAUAUUGUGAAUUCUUGAAGUCUCGGAGGAAGGGUGUGUAAUGCUUCAAGUCUAGUAAUAUGCCAAAGCUCGAGUGAUCUGCAAUAAGGGUAAAGCUGGUCCAUAGGUGGGAGCUCUUCAAGCAUUCCACACCUCCUCAGCGCAAGUUCUUGAAUGUUGGAUGUUUGAUUUUCGGGCCACGACGGUCCUCGAUACCCGUCUAGAUGAAGGCUGGUGAGAUUGGGAGGCAAUUGGAGACCCUCAAGAAUUUCAGCAUCCAAAUUAGAAUUUACAUUGUCCUCGCUGUCGCGCCAUACCAACUGGAGCGAAUCAAGAUGCUUCUUUUCUUUCAAAUCGGCGGCAAUGGCGCUCUCCUUCCUCUCAACAUUCUCAAGAUUAUCAAUGUGCAGGUGUCCUCGAAGUUCGUUCAAGUUCUUUAGUUGCUCCAGCUCAUAUCCUUUUUCCUUUCUCACCUGAAAAUUCUCUAGGCCUUGCAAGGAAGUUAACUUGCCGAUCUCGGCUAUGCCAGAAGGCCGUAGAUACCGCAAGCCGACCAAGUCGGUAAGGCGUGCAGGAAGCGAGCUAGCAUUUUCUACUUCCAACACCUGUAGCUGAUACAGAGUGCACACCAACUCCGGCAACACGAACUCGCUAGUGCCUCCUGAAACUUGCAGGAUGCGAAGGUGCUUCAUUUCGCUUAUAAACUUUGCCAAAUUUUCUAAAUUUAAUCCCAAAACCAGCAGCACGCGCAACUUUUUUAAGCUCUUGAAGAUGUCGCUCGCAACAUUUUCGUCUGAGACGACGCUUUCUCCUUUCACGACGAUUAGGGUGCGAAGUUUCUUCAGUUUGCAAAUUUCCUCCUUCUUCUCAUUCAGUUUGUCAGCCGGUAUGCACAGAUGGCGAAUAGUCGACGGGAUCUCGCUCUGACGAUUACCUUCUAUUCUAACACAAUCACUGCGAGUAACCUUUACCGCUAGAUCAUACAGCAAUUCAUGCAACGUGUAGUAGAAGACAGGCUUACCUGUUCCAGAGGAGCGGCGGAAUCUGUUAUGACGCUGAAUGUAGAAUCUGNCCUCAUUUUGUCUGCUGUAAAUUAAUUCCGUUUUUCGCUCAUGCGUCUCCAACCAUCUCCCCCACACAGCAGCAAUAUCCGCAUCGGCGGCAGGCACACUGUUGUUAUGCUCUCGGCUAUUCACCACGGCUAUGAAAUUCCUCAUUUCUCUUUCGUUGUGCACUAAGUCUUCUUUAUAUUGGUGUUGGAACCAUUCCUGCGUCCUGUUCCUCAUGACCUCUCUUAUGGAUCUCUUGUCAUCUUGGCUCAACUGCAGGUCUUCAUUUGUUACGAAGGUGAGAAAUGGUGUGCGAAAUAUUGCGAUGUUUCGAAGCCUCGGAGGAAGGGUGUGUACUGCUUUAAGCCUAGUAAUAUGCCGAAGCUCAAGUGAUCUGCAAUAAGGGUAAAGCUGGUCCAUAGGUGGGAGCUCUUCGAGCAUUCCACACCUCCUCAGCGCAAGUUCUUGAAUGUUGGAUGUUUGAUUUUCGGGCCAAGACGGCCACGACUGUCCUCGAUACCCAUCUAGAUGAAGGCUGGUAA
rnacentral:lncRNA from 1 species